UAGGAUAAUAGUUAUUAAUAACAUUUAAUUUGCACUUAGAAAGUACUGAAAUCAGUUUAUCUUAA
rnacentral:tRNA from 1 species